UUUAUUUCUAUAUUUUGUUAAAAUAAUUCCUAGGCCCAGUCAUAUUGACCCAGAAGUUCCUACCUCUUCUACGGAAAGCUGCAUCGCUUUCUGGCACCAAAGAACUGAGCACAAGCAAAACUGCUGUGGUUAUGAUCUCCUCUAUUAUUAGUUCUCAAGGUUCUCAGGAUACGAUCCCCCCUGGACACAGUUUUAUGCACUACAAGCUAUCUAAAACUGCAUUAAACAUGGUGACCAUUCUCGCUGCGAGAGAGUUGAGGUCUGAUGGCAUCCUUGUUACUGCUCUGCACCCUGGCUGGGUGAAGACAGACAUGGGCACAAGCGCGGCCCCUUUGACUGCAGAAGAGAGCAUCAAAGAUUGUCUUCAAGCGAUCGCUAAAGCCGGGGAGGAGAGUAACGGAAAACUGAUCGAUUUCAAAGGAAACAUUUUGCCCUAUUAAAUAUUUCAUUGAUUCCUCUCAUACUGGGUGUAUUUUUUAAGAUGGUUAUAUCGCAGAAAUAAAAACUUUUAAAACUCAAAU
rnacentral:sRNA from 1 species